rnacentral:rRNA from 1 species
GAUGAACGCUGGCGGCGUGCCUAAUACAUGCAAGUCGAGCGAACGGACGAGAAGCUUGCUUCUCUGAUGUUAGCGGCGGACGGGUGAGUAACACGUGGAUACCCGACCUAUAAGACUGGGAUAACUUCGGGAAACCUGAGCUAAUACCGGAUAAUAUUUUGAACCUGAUGGUUCAACAGUGAAAGACGGUCUUGCUGUCACUUAUAGAUGGAUCCAGGCUGCAUUAGCUAGUUGGUAAGGUAACGGCUUACCAAGGCGACGAUGCAUAUCCGAACUGAGAGGGUGAUCGGUCACACUGGAACUGAGACACGGUCCAGACUCCUACGGGAGGCAGCAGUAGGGAAUCUUCCACAAUGGGCGAAAGCCUGACGGAGCAACGCCGCGUGAGUGAUGAAGGUCUUCGGAUCGUAAAACUCUGUUAGUAGGGAAGAACAUAUGUGUAAGUAAACCUGCACAUCUUGACGGUACCUAAUCAGAAAGCAACGGCUAACUACGUG